CUCGUGCAGCCUGUGCUAACGAGCCCGGGUGCCGUCCCAGCUCCUCCUCCGCCCACUCCACUGUCUCUCUUUCGCCUGUGCAGUGGUUCCUGGCAAAACCUCUUAUGCCACCUCCCGACCAUCCCGGGAAGAUUUGGCGGCUGGAGCCCUGCGCAGGAGCUGUAGGUCUGGGCUGCGGAUUUUACCGCCCCUGCACAGAAGCCUGCAGCGUGGAGGCUCCCCUCGCGCUCGCCCAGACUCGGCUGCAGAAGGAGGACCCACCUCGCGUCUCCCCCGAGGCGCGCACCUCUGUCGCCACCCUCCACGCGCCUAGGAAGUUUUGAAGGUAGAGAAUCUGGGCCCCUCAACUUCCUCUGGACAUGAAUCAAACCGCAGGAGUCUCCAAUAGCGUCAGGUGUCCCCCGGGGAAAGGCCACA
rnacentral:lncRNA from 1 species